rnacentral:rRNA from 1 species
UGGGGAAUAUUGGACAAUGGGCGCAAGCCUGAUCCAGCCAUGCCGCGUGAGUGAAGAAGGCCCUAGGGUUGUAAAGCUCUUUCACCGGUGAAGAUAAUGACGGUAACCGGAGAAGAAGCCCCGGCUAACUUCGUGCCAGCAGCCGCGGUAAUACGAAGGGGGCUAGCGUUGUUCGGAUUUACUGGGCGUAAAGCGCACGUAGGCGGACUUUUAAGUCAGGGGUGAAAUCCCGGGGCUCAACCCCGGAACUGCCUUUGAUACUGGAAGUCUUGAGUAUGGUAGAGGUGAGUGGAAUUCCGAGUGUAGAGGUGAAAUUCGUAGAUAUUCGGAGGAACACCAGUGGCGAAGGCGGCUCACUGGACCAUUACUGACGCUGAGGUGCGAAAGCGUGGGGAGCAAACAGG